UACGUAGGGGCAAGCGUUGUCCGGAAUGAUUGGGCGUAAAGGGCGCGCAGGCGGUCUCUUAAGUCUGAUGUGAAAGGCCACGGCUCAACCGUGGGAUGGCAUUGGAAACUGGGGGACUUGCGUUCAGGAGAGGAGAGCGGAAUUCCCGGUGUAGCGGUGAAAUGCGUAGAGAUCGGGAAGAACACCAGUGGCGAAGGCGGCUCUCUGGCCUGACACGGACGCUGAGGCGCGAAAGCGUGGGGAGCGAACAGGAUUAGAUACCCUGGUA
rnacentral:rRNA from 1 species